AGGACGAACGCUGGCGGCGUGCUUAACACAUGCAAGUCGAGCGACAGCGCCCUUUCGGGGGUGUAUGGAGCGGCGAACGGGUGAGUAACACGUGGGCAACCUGCCCUCAGCUCUGGGAUAACUCCGGGAAACCGGGCUAAUACCGGAUAUGAUCACUUCGGGCAUCCGGUGGUGGUGGAAAGUUUUUUCGGCUGAGGAUGGGCCCGCGGCCUAUCAGCUUGUUGGUGGGUAAUGGCCUACCAAGGCGACGACGGGU
rnacentral:rRNA from 1 species